AACGAACGCUGGCGGCAUGCCUAACACAUGCAAGUCGAACGAGACCUUCGGGUCUAGUGGCGCACGGGUGCGUAACGCGUGGGAACCUGCCCUUAGGUUCGGAAUAACUCCCCGAAAGGGGUGCUAAUACCGGAUAAUGUCUUCGGACCAAAGAUUUAUCGCCUUUGGAUGGGCCCGCGUUGGAUUAGCUAGUUGGUAGUGUAAAAGCCUACCAAGGCGACGAUCCAUAGCUGGUCUGAGAGGAUGAUCAGCCACACUGGGACUGAGACACGGCCCAGACUCCUACGGGAGGCAGCAGUGGGGAAUAUUGGACAAUGGGCGAAAGCCUGAUCCAGCAAUGCCGCGUGAGUGAUGAAGGCCUUAGUGUUGUAAAGCUCUUUUACCCGGGAUGAUAAUGACAGUACCGGGAGAAUAAGCUCCGGCUAACUCCGUG
rnacentral:rRNA from 1 species